GGGAUGUUAACUCAGCUGGGAGAGUGUUGCCGUCACAUGGCAAAAGUCGUAGGUUCGAGUCCUAUACAUCCCACCA
rnacentral:tRNA from 2 species